UGACCUACCUUUCAGUGAGGGAUACCGGCGAGAAAUCGCCGACAAUCCCGCAUGGGCUUCUGUUUGUGAGAGAACAGAGGCAAAGUCUGGCGCAAGUUAGACGCUGGGAGAUGGGCCCGCGGCCGAUUAGCUGGUUGGUGGGGUAAGAGCCUACCAAGGCGACGAUCGGUAGCUGGUCUGAGAGGACGAUCAGCCACACUGGGAUUGAGAACGGCCCAG
rnacentral:rRNA from 1 species